rnacentral:SRP_RNA from 1 species
UGCGGGUAUUUUUGCAACGAUAAACCGCGAACCGUGUCAGGCGGGGAACCGAGCAGCACUAAGUGAAUUUACCGUGUGCUGAAAUCCCCGUACAC